CCUACGGGUGGCAGCAGUGAGGAAUAUUGGUCAAUGGGCGCGAGCCUGAACCAGCCAAGUAGCGUGAAGGAUGACUGCCCUACGGGUUGUAAACUUCUUUUAUAAAGGAAUAAGGUGAGGCACGUGUGCCUUUUUGUAUGUACUUUAUGAAUAAGGAUCGGCUAACUCCGUGCCAGCAGCCGCGGUAAUACGGAGGAUCCGAGCGUUAUCCGGAUUUAAUGGGGUUAAAGGGAGCGUCGAUGGGUUGUUGAGUCAGUUGUGAAAGUUUGCGGAUCAACCGUAAAAUUGCAAUUGAUACUGGCAGCCUUGAGUACAGUUGAGGUAGGCGGAAUUCGUGGUGUAGCGGUGAAAUGCUUAGAUAUCACGAAGAACUCCGAUUGCGAAGGCAGCCUACUAAACUGCCACUGACAUUGAUGCUCGAAAGUGUGGGUAUCAAACAGGAUUAGAUACCCGGGUAGUC
rnacentral:rRNA from 1 species